CUCUCCCAAGUUCAGGAAAUAGGGGUUCUAUCAGAUUAUCCUCAUUCAACCAAUUUACGCAUUCAGCACCAAGAGACCCGGGUCUCACCCUCUGAGAGCGAAAACCCAGAGUGGCCUCCACUUCCGCCACUCGCCACUCACUCCGCCUCAACCAAGCCAGCCACCGCAACGACCCUCCAGCUCCGCCCAUAUUUUCACCGGCGACAGCAGACACCACCGGAACCAUGGCCGGCCACAGCGUCAGGUUAUUUUCCCAAGCUUCCCUGCGCGUGAGGGGGAACACCCUCUCUCCUUCUACUCAUGCCGGCCUAGGGUUUGGGGUUUGCCUCUAACCGGAUACUGCCUACCACCGAUCCCAUCUCGCCACCUCAUCGCCGGCCACUAUCUCCCCAACGUCAGGGCCGCCAUACCACAGAGGCCGCCAACGUGAACGUUACUCCUCACGUGUCUUCUUCGCCCUUUCCGAAGUAGCAAACCAUCAACGGUGGCACCACCACGGCAACUCCCAAUCGUGAAUUACAAACAUUAAAUUGCCGGUGAAGAAGACCUUGUUACCUCCUCUGCUUUGCUUCUUUGUGGAUUGGAUAAGAAAGAACGAAAAGGGAGAAUGGUGUUGAGUGGUUGAAGGCGAUGGUGGACGAUACAGCAGCAGUUUUAGUUUUGGUUUAGUGCAGGUAUAAUAUGUGCUUGUGUGGGGGUCAGACGCAGUGGUUGGAAAUUAAUCUUGGUUCUUGGUGAUUGGGGCUGAACAGGGGAUUGAUGGCUGCGAGAAAUUGGUUCAGUUUGGUGAUGGUAUUGCUCUGUGUGUGUUUGGCAUUGGGCGUGUUGAUGAUACGAUGGGAAGGUUUGGGUAUGGUGUAGGAAGACGUGGUGAUGGUGGGGUAGGAUUGGGUUAUGGAUUUGAUAUAUGUUUGUUUUUGUUGUUCUUUUUAUAUGCAGGGGAGUUGUAAGUCAGUCAGGAUGAGCAUGAAGAGGGUGAACUCGUGUAUGGAGGUCAUUCGAAAAUGAAGAGGAAUCAUGGAAUGGGCCGAACACGUCUCAAAUUAAAGAUGAAUGAUGCAAUGUGUUUUACCCGUUGGACCAAGCAGAAGAGAUAAGUGAUAAUAUGCAUUUAGUAGAGCAAAUCGACAUACAAGACGAUAUGCCAUAUACUCUAUUUACAGGACUAUUCGAGUGAGUAAGGCGUAGGCAUGGUUGGCUUACCUCUCGAAGCUUCACCUGCGGCGACAUCCUCCCUUCCUCUGGCUGACCUUGAUUGUGUUUGUGAUUGAAUGGUGAGAAGGAGCCAUGAAGGAUGGAUUCCCGUUAGGAUGUUGGGAUGGAUUUUGUAUAAUGGGGGAUUGCUGAGUGGUUUUCUGUUGAGUGAAUAGAGAAUCGAGAGUGAAUGAUCUUCUCCUCUCUUUUUCAGGUGCUGGACCGAAUGGAGGAGAGGAGUCGAUUUCUCUCGUGUGUAAAAUGUUUCCCUCUCUUCACUUUUCCUUUGCACAAGGUUCAGCCCCUGCCACCCUGCCAUCUCGCCACUCUAUUUCCCUUUUUUUUGCUCCUCAUGGCCAGGCUAGACAUUUUCGCAUCUGGUAAUCACAGGCAGAGAGUGUAGGUGUUGUGUGCACGGCUCACCAAGAGAUUCCCAUCCAAAAACGGGAGAACGCGUAAACGAAAGGGAAGACUGAUUGCCUGGACCGAGUUCCAUUUUUAUGUUUUGUUUCUUUUUCCUUCUAUGUAUGGUUGCUACUGCUUAAGAAUUUUCAGCAAGAAAACACAGAGACCUUUUUCA